GAGGGUGGUGGCAGAGUCCAUAAAAUGCUAAGGAAGAAAUGCUAAAGAAGGGAGCCUUUAUAAAAACAAUGGGCAACUUCAUUUAUAGGUGUGACCCAGCAGGUUUUUUGUGGUGAAACAUCAAUUCGUUUCAGCUGUGAUUUGAUUCAAUUAUUGCACAAGACACAUUACUGCUUUCAUACUUGUAGGACACUUUCAGAGGAUAAUAGAUGAAAAAUUGGGACCUCUGAUAAUGCCGUCAUUUAAAAAACAAUUCAGAGAUAACCCUGUUUGAGCAGAAGAAUUGGACUAGAUGAUCUCCAGAGGUGCCUUCCAACUUUGACCGUUCUGUGAUUCCGUGCUUCCUGAUACAGGUUCAAAGUCAAAUCUUCCGUUUUCCCAAAGUUGUCAAACAAUAAGAAAAUUGUGAUGUCCUCCACAUCUUCUGAAGUCUUCUGAAGCUGAGCAAAGAUAUAAAAAAGUUUGGAAGAUUU